rnacentral:rRNA from 1 species
UACGUAGGGUCCGAGCGUUGUCCGGAAUUAUUGGGCGUAAAGGGCUCGUAGGCGGUUUGUCGCGUCGGGAGUGAAAACAUCUGGCUUAACUGGGUGCUUGCUUUCGAUACGGGCAGACUGGAGGUAUGCAGGGGAGAACGGAAUUCCUGGUGUAGCGGUGAAAUGCGCGAUAUCUGGAGGAACACCGGUGGCGAAGGCGGCGUUCUGGACUGCAACUGACACUGAGGAACGAAAGCCAGGGGAGCAAACGGGG